CUCUCUGUGUCUCUCUCUCUCUCUCUCUCACACACACACAACUUAUAAGCAUCUCUUGUUUCUCCUAAAAUUACCCUUCUAGCAUUAGCUGUCCCAUUAAAAUUCUAAUAGGCUUUUUUGUGGACAUCUGCAAAUUAAUUAUAAAAUUUAUAUGGACAUGCAAAGGGCCAAGUAAGGGCCCUUAAAAGGGACAAAAAUGGGAGAAAUUACUAGAUACCAUGGCUCACCAUAAAAGCUGCCUUGAUUAAGACAGUGUGGCAGUGGUCAGCAAACAGUGGUCUGCCCCUGGGCCAACUCUGCCCACCAUCUGUUUCUGUAUGGCCCAUGAAGCAAGAAUGAUUUUUACAUUUUUAAAUGGUUGAAAAUAAUUGAUUGGUGGGGACAAUGCUGGUGGAGUCUGAAGUUGUCAUGCAGUGACUCACUCAAGGUUAGGCAGAUUUGGUGAUAUAUGACACAGAGAUGCAAAGAAAUGCUGUAGCUGACACACACAGGGUGGCUCUGGGAGAUGCAGAAGGAGCAUGUCACCCAAAAUAGAGCCAGAUAGACAUCUUUAAGGAAGGAGCAAAGGGGCUGCAUCUUAAAGAAUGAAGAAGGGAUUUGUCAUGAGAGAUGGGGCAGGAAGUUCUUGAGAGGCAGAGGGAGAGCAUGAGAAUGCUGGGAAGGGAGGAGAGAUUCUCACACAUCUGGGAAGCUGACAAUUCAUCAGCAUGUCCGGAAGGAAAAUAAGGAGGAGGAGCAGAAAUAGAUGAGGCUGGAUAUAGAAGCAGGGCUGAAGCUGUGUUGAUCGUGGUAAAGAGUUGUGAUUCUAUCCAGAAGGCAAUAGGUAGCAUUCUAAACAGAGAUCUCUUAAAACAAGAGUCAGCAAAUAUUUUCUGCAAAGGGCUAAAUGUUAAAUAUUUUAAGUUUUCCAAGCCAUAUGGUCUCUCUCUUAAUGACUCAGGUCUUCCAUUAUACCAUGAAAGUAACCAGAGACGUUAUAUAACACAUGUAUUGGCUGUGUCCCAUUACAACUUUACUUACAAACGCAGACUGUGUCAGACCUGGUCCAUGCAUGGUAGUUUGCCACACCCUGUUUUAGAAAGCUCAGGUUUAUGAUGUGAUGGAGAAUGCCUACAAGAGCUCUUGUUUUAAAUGGUAGAGUGAAGAUACACUGGAAUUCUAUCCUGCUUGACCCAAGCUCUUGAUAGCGAAAGGUAGAAAAGAUAGAUAGUAAAUAGAUAGAUAGAUGAUAGGCAGGUAGAUAGAUAGAUGAUAGAUAAAGAAAAUACAUAGCUGUUCCAGAAAACAGAAAUGGAUAAUUUCAUGAACCAAAAGCAGAGUAAUAUACUUUAGAAAGGAAGCAGGCUGGAAGACCCACAGUUGCAAAGCAAAUAGAAUUUCCAACUGCCUCUUGUAGCCCCUUCCUGGAAGUAGUCACAGCCCAGGGUGUUCAACUUCUUCCUCUGUUUUUUGUUUGUUUGUUGUUUGCUUUUCUGUGGGGUUUUUGUUGUUGUUGUUUGCUUUUUAAAAAAAAUCCCUUUCCCUGCUUUUUUGUCACAGCAGCCUUUGUCACUUCAAACACCGCAAGUGUUCUUUAAAAAAAAUUAUAUCAACCUUUCAACUAAAAUGCAACAUGUCUGAAACUUGGUAUCUGGAGAGGUGAGAGGGACAAAGGAGCCGUUGUUACUGCACGUUUUCAUUCUCCAAACUUCACCUUGCACACAGUAACAGACAAUGCACAAAGCUACUUCCUUAUGGACGGAAAUUCUGAAAUCCUUUUAUGCCUGGCCUUUCCAUCCUUCAACUUCCCCUCUCCCAUGCUGAACAGUAAGAGGACCUUGUGCAUGAAUAAUUUGUUUCCACACUGCAGAGUGGGUAAUAAGCAGAUUAGUAAAAACAAUUCUGCUUCACUUCAAUAACAGCCUCCUCCAACUCAUUUUUUCUCAACAAACUUAUUUUUGCAGCAGAAGAAUCCCAGACUUCUUAGAGAACCCAGUGACUUUUUGCACCUUAAAUCUGUGAAAUCCUCAUGCUUUCUUCUGCCGUAUCCAUCGUUCAAACAAACAUGAGGCAAAGCUAGACACAUUCCUGAAGGAACCCAAGAAAUUCCUCUCUUUCUCUCUCUGGAAUGAAAUGAAUUCUCUAGACCACCAGUUCUAACCUUCAAAAACGAAACCUGUUUGUGAGAUCUCCUUCAAAUACUACUGUAGACCCCAGUGUUUAUUCAUUAAAUUUUUUAAACAUUUGUUUUAUUUGGAAUCAAAGUAUUUGUAAUUUUAGUAUUUGUAUUAAUAUAAGGGAGAAAUGUUUAAAUCUGUCUAUGCCACAUGUGCCUUCGGCUUAUUGCCCAAUUAAUUGUAGCCUCAGGCUAAACUUUGGUUUCUGUCUUUAAUUUUUGUCGGAAGAAAUAUAACUGGUCUCAAAACAUCUGCUUUUAUUGUAGGGACUCGUGCUGCCAUCUCCAUUCCUCUCUCUUUUCUUGCAAUCUGGGUGGAAGUUCUUUAAUAUGAACAUUUCAACCACCUUCACUCUACCAUGUCCACUAUCAGCACAUUCAAACGUAUCCAGCCAAGGGUAUCAUCUUAGGCCAGGGAUUUUUUAGGAAUCUAUUUUGCUGUGAUGCACCUGGUACCCCUUUGACUCACUUUAUCACCCCAGGGUUCUUUUCAUUUUAGAAGCCCAAGAGGGCAGAAAAAGAAGUAGGUGAGCAAUUAAACUCUCCAAGUCAGGAGCGUCUCCCCUUGUGUUAAGCAAUGUUGUAGAACAUCGUAUUUAGCAAGCUCCUAGCAGAUGAGCCACGUGGCUGCUGAGCACACACGCCUGCUUGCUGCUGUGAGCUCAGACACCAUCAUUAUGUCUUUUUCACCUCUGGAGGGAAUUGUAAGCGCCACUUAAUAACCUGUAAAUCGUAGAGAGUUAAAGGUGUUUCCCUAAAACACUGAUGACAGAAUGAAAGGUAAGGAGUGUUAGCCACAGGUCAAAAGUGCAGGAAAGUCUCUCUAUGUGGGUUGUUGAAGAAAUGCAGGUCUUUUUUCUUUUGGAAGUCUCCCUAGAAUGGGGUCAAGGACUCUGCCCAUUCUAGGAUGAAAAACUGGGAUAUUAGACACCCUCAGAUAUUUAUCCCAAGCUUUCAUUUUGGGCUCUUAAUUAGUUCAUCCAUCACAAUCGCAAAUGCUAAGCAGGGCAGUUGAAUCUGUCUACAGUCCAAAUCAGCACCUUCUUUUAAAGUUGAGUUUCUUAUUAUUCUCACCUGAUAUACCUUAUUUAUCCCACACCCACCCCAAUAACAUAUCGUGCUCACUGUUAUCUUUAAGAAAACACUUGAAUUUAACUCAGCCUGGAGCUCUCUUCACAUGUCUUGUCCAGAUCCAGUUCGGACUCAUUCUUCAGCCGUGCAUCAGUCAAUGGGGGCUAGGUUAAACUGUGGUGACAAACAACCUCCAAAUUUCAGUGGCUCAAAAAUCUUCUUCCUCAUUUAUUUACAUUUCAUCAUGGGUCAGGUGAGAGGUAGCUCUGUGCUGUGUCAUCCUAACACAGGAAUCCAGACGGAAGGAGGGACGAUCAAUAAGAUCCCCAUUGCUAUAGAAAAGAGAAAAAAGUAUGUGGAAUAGCACUCUGUUUCUUGGAGAUUUCUCCUGAAAAAGUCACAUGUUAUUUCUUCUCACCUCCAUUGGCAAAAAAAAAAAGUCAUGUGGCCAUGUGAAAAUGUAAGUAGGCGGGAUGGAACAGUCAGAAUGCAUUCAUAAAAUAUGAACUGAAAAUAUCUGGAGAACAGCACCUAUGACUACAACGAAUGCCAACAUGCAUCCCUAACAACCCAGUGCUGUCACCCUCCAAACUUUUUAUGUCUUGCAAAGUAUUAGAACUUCUUAUCUGAAGCCAUACCACUCAGAGGGAAUGCAAAAUACAUAUUGACAUCUCCUUUAGGAUGUCCUUAGAGAAUUCAUGGAAAAGAAGUUAAAUAAUUUAAAAGUGCUUUUGGGUACAGCUAUUUAGCACUAGAGGGUAAGAGUAGAGAUAGAUUGUAAAGAUAAUAAUAGGGUUAGGCAUAGGAUUAGGAUCUGGGUCAGAGUCAGGGCCGGAAGUAUGGUUAGAGGUGGGGUCAUGGUCAGGGUCGAGAUCAAAGUCAGGGUCAAAGUAAGGGUCAGAAUUAGGGACCAGGAUAGGGAUCAGGAUUUAGGUUCAGUGUCAAAGUCUUGGGACAGGGUUAGGGUUAGGAUUAGAACCAGAGCUUUGUUCUCCUCAGGACCCACCCGAGGGUGGGUCACCAUGGCUUUGGAGCGCCUGGUAGUGUGGCGUGUCCACAGUGAAGACCAGAGUUUCAUUGUCCUUAAGACUGACCUGGGGAGAUGUGGCUGUAGGCCAUUGAGGAAGGUGAGGCAACAGCUUCCUGUCUGCUCCCCGUGUGCUGAGGAGGGAGUUCUGCCGUGGGCUUUACUUUCACAUGUUAUAUUCCACAAGUCUUGUUUUACAAAAGCAUCCCUUCCUUGAGGCUUCGGCUGCUCAUCGCUGCUCAUCAUCAUAGCGUGCCAUAACAUAUAGUAAGAUUUGGGUUUGUUUCUGGGGAGAUAUCUUGGUAUAGAGAAAGGAGAAAUGCUUAGAGCCACCAUCAGGACAGUUGGGAUGAAAGUUGGGUAUAGGCAGAGGCUGGAGGAAACAUGUGCAUCCCCUGUAAACACUUUUAUUCAUGUUUUAAUUACUCAUUUUUCUUACAGUGUUAAAUUAGUAAAGAUAGUAUUGAAAAAUUGAAAAGUAGGCAUAUUAAAACUUGCAACACUA
rnacentral:lncRNA from 1 species